rnacentral:rRNA from 1 species
UACAGAGGGUGCGAGCGUUAAUCGGAAUUACUGGGCGUAAAGCGCACGUAGGCGGCUUGGUAUGUCGGGUGUGAAAUCCCCGGGCUCAACCUGGGAACUGCAUCCGAAACUGGCAGGCUUGAAUCCGGGAGAGGGAUGCGGAAUUCCAGGUGUAGCGGUGAAAUGCGUAGAUAUCUGGAGGAACACCGGUGGCGAAGGCGGCAUCCUGGACCGGCAUUGACGCUGAGGCGCGAAAGCCAGGGGAGCAAACGGG